GGGGAAAAGGUUUGCAGGGCCUCGUCUUUUCUUACCGGCUAGCUGUCAACCCGUCCCCACCAGUGGCGCUUGGACGGGCCCUCGCGGCGAGGUGGUCCAGAUGUCAGUGUCUGUUUCCGUCUCCUCCUGUGGCAUGAACGUUGCCCGUGGGGGCCAGCCAAGAUUGGUGCGAGAGAGGUGAGCGGGUCCUUUUUGGAUCACGUCAUGUGCGGUAAUUACUGUAUCCACGACAACUCAAAAAAACUGCUAAUCUUCCUCCUAAUAUCUUCUUUAGGGGAAAAAUGAAAAAAAAAACUCCAACAGUUCCUUCAAACCCCCUCCAAUCUUUUCGCGACGCGAAAAACUUCCCCGCGUCACGCAAAUAUGCGAGGCGCCACCAAUCCGCCCCGAGACUGCUUUCCCACGCGCGAUUCACCGUUCCCGCCCUCGCGGAGGCGGGAGACCGGGCCACCUCCGUCCGCCACGCCGGGCCAAUGCCAGCGCGCCCCUAGCCCAGCUGCCCCUCCACGCCGGCACCGCUCGCCAGCGUCGGCUGCCCGCGGCUGCGCAGUCCUUGGCCGCCGCAGCACACACCACGCCUGCGCUACCCAUCUCCCAACACCGUCGCCGCCGCCGCCACUCCAGCGCCCCUCCUCCCUGAUAUGGGCGCGCAAGAGAUGGCGGUGGAGGAAGUGCUGCAUGCCGUCGCCGCCGCCGAUGUCUCCACCUCCUCCGUGAAGCACCACCACCGCCUCUUUCGCCACACCAUGCUCCAUCUCCUCGCGAAGGCCUUAGGUACCCACCCCAUCUUCGCCUCCGCUCCCCACCUCUCCGGAUGGCACCCCGCCAUCGUCUGUGUGUUUUAGUCGCCGGUGGUGGAGGAGGUGUUGUGUGCAAGCAGGUAGUUGGACUGCUGACUGAAGGUGGUAACAGGGUAACACUUUGGUGGAAAACCAACCUCUUCUUUGAUAAAAUUCGACCCAACCAUCCAUCAACUUGCCCCGAGCCUUUAACCAAAGUUGGAGAGGGUGGAAUUAGCUACAAGUGAUAGAAGCACUUUUGUUGUUAGGACCCACGGUUUUGGAGAUUUAAAUCUCUGAACUUCGAUCAAAACUUUGAUCUCUCUCUCCUUAGGAUCUGUUCGUCAGUUAACCUCAAAUGCUGAAACAGUGUUGACUUUUAAUCUUUGAGCUCAAGUUUAAAUAUCCAAACUCAUUUUUCUCGAUUCAACAACUACUGUAACUUGUUAACCAUAGAAUAUACCUUCCAUUUUGCAUGUUAUAGCACAACAUUCUUUUGUGAAACUUUUCUGAAUUUUGAGCCAAAGUUGGCUACUCAUUACUGAUCACGAGGGGGAGAGACGGAUCGCGAAGGGGAGGUGGGCAGCCCAACUAAUGGGUCCAAUUAUGAUGGCAUGGCAUGUUUUGAAUUAUUGGGGGGUAUUUAUUGGCAUUCUACUAUGGGUUGAUAUAUUUUUGGAAAAAGAAAAUUUUAGCAUAGUCCCUGAUGCAUCAUUUUGGGCAAGAAAUUUUUGGAGAACUCUUGAAGUUGCUCUAAGGCUCCUUGAACAUAGGAUUGCAAAAACAUAGGAAUAGGAAAAACUUAGAAGGAAUGCAACUACAAAACAUAGGAUUAGAAAAUACAUGAAUUUUUCCUAAGGUAGGUGUUUGGAUGGGUAUAGGAAAUUCACAGGAAUGGAAAUCUUAUAAAGUGUAUAAUCCCCAAUAGCAUUAGCUAAACUAGAAUGGAAACCUUAAUGGGUGCUCAGGGACUUGCAUUAGCAACAGCUAAGCUCAUUUGCCUCGAUCCCAUGCAAAGGGAAAAGAAAAAAAAGAGGUCUGACUGGAUGUUAUUUUUCCUGUGGUUUUCCUAUGAAAUGAGCAGCAUAGGAAACUUUCCUUCAAUUUUCCUAUACUCCAAUCCUCCAUUCCAAAGGCAUGAACAGUGCCCAUCCUAUAGGAAAUGGAAUCCUUCAUUUUUCCUCCAAAAUUCCUCCAAUCCAAAGAAGGUCUAAACCGCUGUUCUGAUAGUGUUUUGGAACUUAAAAACGGUGAGCAUGCUUACUCCCUGCAGUGGGCGCGUGGUCGUCUUCAAUUAUGCCCAUUUCGCCCCUUCUAGAUGUCCGGGUUACGUCAGUACAUGAUGCUCGUCAUUAUUCUACGACACAGUGAGAAAAAUAAACUUUCUAAUUUUUCAUCUUUUUAGUUAAUAUUUUAAAUAACCUAUUCGAAGAAAUAUUUGCAUAUACUCUUUUGCCAGCGCCGAUCCGCAUGGCAUGACAAAUACUCCAUUGCUCUACAAGUUUGUCGCGUGGAAAUGUGGAAUGCACGUUGACACACUCCUCCUAUCGAAUUCAGCGUGACGUAUGCAUGUGGCACACCGACGGGCUCGAGGAUCCCAUCACAUCCAAGCAAGUACGGAGCCUAGCAAUUAGUAAGGGCCUAAUCAAACCAAACAAGAAGAAGAUUAACAGCCUAACUGAUUUAAGUACUCGAUGAUUAACAGCCGAUGUUAAUCGUAACAGCCACAUAGAUUAGACCUGACUGGUGGUGAUCCUGGUCCAGGAGGUAGCGUAACGGCCGCCAUUUGAAUCCCGAUCCUCGGAUGAUUGGAUGGUGCCGAUGCUGUUUCGCUCACGAUUUGGUGGUGGUGGGCAGCUAACUUUGGAUUCUAUUAUUAUAUUAAAGUUGUAACGCCACUAUCAUCGUUUAGGUACGGAGUUUGCAUCGGUAGAGAAGAAGAGAAUCCCACUUUUUCAAGUAAGUUGGAUACGAGGUGCUAAACUUUAAACUUUAGGAGGGUCACAUCGGAUGUUCGGACGCUAAAUAGGAGGACUAAAUAUGAGUUAAUUAUAAAACUAACUGCAGCACCUCUAUACUAAUUUGCGAGACGAAUCUAUUAAGUCUAAUUAAUUCAUCAUUAGCAAAUGGUUACUGUAGCACCACAUUGUCAAAUCAUGGACUAAUUAGGCUUAAUAGAUUCAUCUCGCGAGUUAGACUCCAUCUGUGCAAUUAGUUUUGUAAUUAGACUAUAUUUAAUACUCAUAAUUAGCAUCAAACAUCCGAUAUGACAGGUACUAACAACUUUAGGAUGGUGUAUUAAACACCCCCUAAGUGCAUUUACCCGUGAACCCACAUCUGUGUGAAGGGUCGGAGAUGUAGGUUAUACAGAAGCAUUUUGAGUACGUUAUUGAGACCGACGGAGCUCGAUCGCGUGGUUUUUGUUCAGGGGUGACGCUGCCGCCUGCCGCACGCGUCGUCCGGUUCGCAGCGGAUGCCGAUCGAACGAAUCAGCCGACGUCACGCGCGUGCGGGCGUGCGCCUGGCGCGCCGCUCGCGGCCUCACCACGCUGUCGGCAACCGGUCGGCCCCGCCCAGGCGCGCGGCGAGGGUGCGAUGCACGCUACAGCCUCAUGCACCGCCGUCCUCCCCUCCGGCUCCCGGCGCGGCGACGGCGGCGUGCUCUGCGCUCUCCUCCCGGAGAUUCCUGUUCCAACACACCUACGACAAAAAUAUGACUAGAUAUGGAUGUGUAGCUGAAGCAACACACGUACGAGAUCCAAUCCAACACCUUGUUGACGGCAACGCAACGUUCUCGGAGAGGAAUCAUGUCCAAAAGGAGGUCAAUUGCAAAAAGGUAAAACACGGAGGUGGCUGGCCCAGCGUGAAAAGGAAAAGCUGACCGACCAAAAGUGAAUGGCAUCUGGAAUUCUGGAUCACACAAGGAAGAGCCAUUGUUCACCACAGCUGUUUCUGCAUUCCUUAUAUAUAUUCUCGACCUGUACCACCCUCGGCUGGUUAUCCACCAGUUUCUUCAGUCACUGUUGCUUGCUGAAAAGCUUCUGCGAUGCGUGUGGUGGAAGAAUCUCCUUGUAUUGCUAGUUUAGUGUUACUGACUACAGAGUCUUCGCAUAAAGCCAGGUGUCCUAUAGUAUCCUACUACAAAGCCACGAGUUAGGGCCUCGCUUUCAGCUUUGGCAAAGCCAAACCACAAAGAAUCGAGUGGUUGCGUUGCAUGAUUCUCUUGAAGUGUUUUAAGGUUGGGGGGCUUUAUUUAGGGUUUUCCGAUGAAGAAGGCACACUACUUGUCCAAUCAAUAUCUCUUCUUUCUCUCUGUCUCAAGUCUUGCAUGAUCUAUCGGCGAUGCUCUAUCUGUUGGGAUAUAUGGUAGGUUCAUAAAGUGGCUUCUGAAGCUUGUUGGGCACAGCACAAUGCUGCCUGCUUGGAGUUGAGCCGUCCUUGUCACCCAGAGACGGCGUUGAAUAAAAGGGCAGAUGCAAACCUCGGUUUAUUGCUGACACGAUAGCUUGGGUGGUUGUGCUGUUGUGCACCUGCACCUGCAACCGCAAUGGCGAAGUUGAGCGAAAAGGCUGCCGGGGGUGUACAUAUAGGAUUUGAAAGGCUACUGUUGUACCAUAACAACAAGUCUACGUAGGUGGAGCCUUGGAGAGGAUAACAGACUUCCUGGCAGAGAAGCACCAUAAAAAUUGAUUCGUAGGAGCGUCCGUUUAUUUCUAAGCACGAGCGGAAUUACCACCCAGCACCUACAAAAUGGGAGCGGUACCGUAACAGGUGACCCGCCCCUGGAGAACCAUUUGUAGGGGCGGGAGAUGGCGUCACCUGCCCCUGCGAAUGGGGGAAAUUUCCAGGAGCAGUGACGGUAGCACCCACCCUCGGAAAUGAUGCCUCCAUUUGCAGGGGCAGGUGACGCCAUCACCCGCCCCUGCAAAUGGUUCUCCAGGGACGGGUCACGUGACGACCCGCCCCCUAGAAAUGGGCGACAAAACAACCAGUUGGGGUUCUUCCUCCUCCCAACAGCACAGUCAUUGCUCGGAGGAGGUGCUGCUCGAAAAUCGAAAAAAGCAAAAAAGAUAGGGGAAGGUUUUCAACUUUGUUUCCUUGGAGUUGGAGCUUAUAGGAGGUAAGUUGAUGCUAUUUUCUUAUCUUUUGAAGCUUAUUGCAUAGGUUUUAGGCUCAAAUGGAGUUCCAUAUACCUCUAGAUAGAUCUAGAUCUCCAAGGUGUGGAUUAGCCAUUUGGAGCUCCAUUUACCUCAAACUUUUGGAUGAAGUUAGGUUAUUUAGGUAGGAGAACAAGAUUAUCUAAUCAUUUGUACUCAACUUUGAUGUUUUAGCCUCAUUCAUGAAUCAUGAAUUUCCUAGAUAUCCAUGGAGAAGAGAGAAGAAGAUUUGGUUUUUUCUAUAUUGAUCCAUGCAUGAUAUAAUUUUCAUUUUUUAAGAUUUUGUGGGAUAAAAUAAGUUGACAUGGACGAUGAAUAAUUAUUUUUCAUUUUUUCCAAGAUUUCUAUAUUUUUAUUUGUUUAUUAGGAAAUAGUGCAUGUGUAUAAUUAUAUAUAUAUAGUGUUUUUACAUGGUGUAAUUUUUUUUCUAUUCAGAUAGAUGGAUAGGUACAUGGAUGUACCAAGCACGAAGAACGGAUGCCUAUUUCCGUGGAGAACUUAACAAAUUUAUUAAAGGUGCGGAGAAUAAUGCAAUGGUUCAGAAGACAAAGAUGGUGGCUUGUUCGUGCAAAAACUGCAAGAACAUGAGAGUAUUCGAGGGGACAACUACAAUAAGAUCACAUGUGAUGGUUCGAGUUUUCGUUGAAGACUACAUGAUCUGGACAUAUCAUGGUGAGAAAGCACCCACUCAGAAUCCGCUCGACGAAAUCAUGGAAGAUGUGAAGUUUGAUAGAAUGUUUGAUGCUUACGAUUGUUUUGAUGAGGGUGGCGACGAUGAUGGUGGUGGUGGCUCCGAUGGAGAUGAUGGUGUUGAUGAGGGUAGCGAUGGUGGUGGUGGUGACAAUGGUGGUUAUGAUAGUAGUGGCAACGACGAACUUGGUGAAAGUGAUUUCUUGAGCCAGUUGUUGCGUCACACCGAAGCGGAACUAUUGGUUAGUAGUGCAAAGGCGUUAGGAAACUUCGAGACGGUGAAGAAAUCAAUGGAGAAGAAUAUGUACAAGUGUUCAAAGGGAUGUCCAAAAUACUGGACCGUGCUUCGUUUCAUACUUGAGCUGUUAAUUCUAAAGGCUAAGUACGGCUGGUCCGACGGUAGUUUCAAUGAUUUGUUGCGUAUCUUGGCUUGAUUGCUUCCAAAGUCAAAUAGAGUACCCGCCCACAUAUAUCGAGCAAAGAAGCUUGUCAGUCCGUUUACGAUAGGUGUGAAAAGAAUUCAUACAUAUCCAAAUCCUUGUAUCUUGUACCGCGGGAUACUUUCAAGGCUCGGUGGAGCCGUGGAGAAGAACAGGCCUCCUGGCAGAUAGAAGGUGAGCAGUGCGUGUCAAACGCUCUUGACACGUGCAUGCUCGAAGGUCGCGAUUCGUCCUGGACAAGAAUGAACGGACUCCCUCUGCUUCUCUUGCUCUGCCAGUCUGGUUUCGCUGCCCCUCCGUCGGCGAGGAGGCAACUGCUCACCGAUCAACCGCGAGGUCAGAUCACUUGUCACACAACAGGAUCAAGUAAUCUGUGAAAACAGUAUGACCCGAAAAGAAGGGGAAAAGGAGGACAAAAUGGUGGGUGCAACUGUAAAGCACUGCAAAACCACAGAUGGGCCUGACUCGGAACAGCCCCGUGUGUAGCCGCUACACUGCUGCUGCUGCCGCCGCCGCCGCCGUGGGGGAGAAGAAAGCUUCAGGCUGCGGCCUGCGGGACCGUGGGGAUUUCGUCUCAGGGAUCACUAGCGCGGGUCACCUCUGCACGCGGGCGGGCGCACGGGCCAACACCCCGGGCGCCGCCUCGCCUUGCCGCUCAGGUGCAGGCGGCCGCAGAGCUGAUUUUAGAGCUGGU
rnacentral:lncRNA from 1 species